rnacentral:rRNA from 1 species
AGUGAACGCUGGCGGUAGGCCUAACACAUGCAAGUCGAACGGCAGCACAGUAAGAGCUUGCUCUUACGGGUGGCGAGUGGCGGACGGGUGAGGAAUACAUCGGCAUCUACUUUUUCGUGGGGGAUAACGUAGGGAAACUUACGCUACUACCUCAUACGACCUACGGGUGAAAGCAGGGGAUCUUCGGACCUUGCGCGAUUGAUUGAGCCGAUGUCGGAUUAGCUAGUUGGCGGGGUAAAGGCCCACCAAGGCGACGAUCCGUAGCUGGUCUGAGAGGAUGAUCAGCCACACUGGAACUGAGACACGGUCCAGACUCCUACGGGAGGCAGCAGUGGGGAAUAUUGGACAAUGGGCGCAAGCCUGAUGCAGCCAUACCGCGUGAGUGAAGAAGGCCUUCGGGUUGUAAAGCCCUGUUGUUGGGAAAGAAAAGCAGCAGGUUAAUACCCCGAUGUUCUGACGGUACCCAAAGAAUAAGCACCGGCUAACUUCGUG